rnacentral:rRNA from 1 species
AGGGUUCGAUUCUGGCUCAGGAUGAACGCUAGCUACAGGCUUAACACAUGCAAGUCGAGGGGCAGCAUUAAGUCAGCUUGCUGAUUAGAUGGCGACCGGCGCACGGGUGAGUAACGCGUAUCCAACCUGCCCCUACCCGGGGAUAGCCUUGCGAAAGUAAGAUUAAUACCCGGUGCUGUUGCGAUCCCGCAUGGGGAUGCAACGAAAGAUUCAUCGGUAGGGGAUGGGGAUGCGUCCGAUUAGCUUGUUGGCGGGGUAACGGCCCACCAAGGCGACGAUCGGUAGGGGUUCUGAGAGGAAGGUCCCCCACAUUGGAACUGAGACACGGUCCAAACUCCUACGGGAGGCAGCAGUGAGGAAUAUUGGUCAAUGGGCGAGAGCCUGAACCAGCCAAAAGUAGCGUGAAGGAAGACUGCCCUACGGGUUGUAAACUUCUUUUGUACGGGAAUAAAGUGAGGCUCGUGAGCCUUUUUGCAUGUACCGUACGAAUAAGGACCGGCUAAUUCCGUGCCAGCCGCCGC